rnacentral:rRNA from 1 species
GCCAAGGCUAAAUAUAAACGAGUGAGCGAUAGUGAACCAGUACCGUGAGGGAAAGGUGAAAAGAACCCCGGGAGGGGAGUGAAAGAGAACCUGAAACCGUAUGCCUACAAGAAGUCAGAGCCCGUUAAAGGGUGAUGGCGUGCCUUUUGUAGAAUGAACCGGCGAGUUACUGUAUGGAGCGAGGUUAAGCAGGAUAUGCGGAGCCGAAGCGAAAGCGAGUCUUAAGAGGGCGCGAGUUGCAUGCAGUAGACCCGAAACCGGGUGAUCUAGCCAUGACCAGGUUGAAGUUGGGGUAAAACCCGAUGGAGGACCGAACCGACCCCCGUUGAAACGUUGGCGGAUGAGUUGUGGCUAGGGGUGAAAUUCCAAUCGAACCCGGAGAUAGCUGGUUCUCCCCGAAAUAGCUUUAGGGCUAGCGUCGAGAGAAGAGUUGCGUGAAGGUAGAGCACUGAAUAUGUGAUGGCCCCAUCUCGGGGUACUGAGCAUAAUCAAACUGCGAAUGUCACGCCAACAUGCUCGGCAGUCAGACAGCGGGUGAUAAGGUCCGUUGUCAAGAGGGAAACAGCCCAGACCAUCAGCUAAGGUCCCAAAAUGUAUGCUAAGUGGAAAAGGAUGUGGAGAUGUACAGACAACUAGGAGGUUGGCUUAGAAGCAGCCAUCCUUUAAAGAGUGCGUAAUAGCUCACUAGUCGAGUGACCCUGCGCCGAAAAUGUACCGGGGCUAAAACAAUUUACCGAAGCUGUGGAUACCUUUAUAGGUAUGGUAGGAGAGCGUUCUAUGUGUGAAGAAGGUGUACCGUGAGGAGUGCUGGAACGCAUAGAAGUGAGAAUGCCGGUAUGAGUAGCGAAAGACAGGUGAGAAUCCUGUCCACCGUAAGACUAAGGUUUCCAGGGGAAGGCUCGUCCGCCCUGGGUUAGUCGGGACCUAAGGAGAGACCGAAAGGUGUAUCCGAUGGACAACAGGUUGAUAUUCCUGUACUAGAGUAUGUAGUGAUGGAGGGACGCAGUAGGCUAACUAAAGCAGACGAUUGGAAGAGUCUGUCUAAGCAGUGAGGUGUGAUAUGAGUCAAAUGCUUAUAUCUAUAACAUUGAGCUGUGAUGGGGAGCGAAGUUUAGUAGCGAAGUUAGUGACGUCACACUGCCAAGAAAAGCUUCUAGCGUUUAAACAUACUCUACCCGUACCGCAAACCGACACAGGUAGUCGAGGCGAGUAGCCUCAGGUGAGCGAGAGAACUCUCGUUAAGGAACUCGGCAAAAUGACCCCGUAACUUCGGGAGAAGGGGUGCUGAUUUAGGUCAGCCGCAGUGAAUAGGCCCAAGCAACUGUUUAUCAAAAACACAGCUCUCUGCUAAAUCGUAAGAUGAUGUAUAGGGGGUGACGCCUGCCCGGUGCUGGAAGGUUAAGAGGAGUGCUUAGCGCAAGCGAAGGUAUGAAUUGAAGCCCCAGUAAACGGCGGCCGUAACUAUAACGGUCCUAAGGUAGCGAAAUUCCUUGUCGGGUAAGUUCC